rnacentral:rRNA from 1 species
GGGGAAUUUUGGACAAUGGGCGAAAGCCUGAUCCAGCCAUGCCGCGUGCAGGAUGAAGGCCUUCGGGUUGUAAACUGCUUUUGUACGGAACGAAAAGACUCUGGUUAAUACCUGGGGUCCAUGACGGUACCGUAAGAAUAAGCACCGGCUAACUACGUGCCAGCAGCCGCGGUAAUACGUAGGGUGCAAGCGUUAAUCGGAAUUACUGGGCGUAAAGCGUGCGCAGGCGGUUUUGUAAGACAGAGGUGAAAUCCCCGGGCUCAACCUGGGAACUGCCUUUGUGACUGCAAGGCUGGAGUGCGGCAGAGGGGGAUGGAAUUCCGCGUGUAGCAGUGAAAUGCGUAGAUAUGCGGAGGAACACCGAUGGCGAAGGCAAUCCCCUGGGCCUGCACUGACGCUCAUGCACGAAAGCGUGGGGAGCAAAC